GCGUCCGGCCCACACGUCGCUGCGUCAAGAUAUCAUUAUCCACCACAUGCACCAGCACAACCCGCCGCCAAUUGGCAGCGGCCGGGCGACGAUGGGCAGGUGACCGCGCGCGCACGCGGGGCAGGCUGCUGCCCACGUAUGUGCUUACAUGCCCGCCGGCACGGCGGCGCCUGCGUUCGGGCCCAUGCUCCAGGUGGUCAUCCCGUCCCGGCUGUACACCUCCA
rnacentral:lncRNA from 1 species